rnacentral:rRNA from 1 species
UCCGGUUGAUCCUGCCGGAGGCCAUUGCUAUUGGGAUUCGAUUUAGCCAUGCUAGUCGCACGAGUUCAGACUCGUGGCGAAUAGCUCAGUAACACGUGGCCAAACUACCCUUCGGACCAUCAUACCCUCGGGAAACUGAGGUUAAUAAUGGAUACCACAGUCCACCUGGAAUGAGGACUGUGCCAAACGCUCCGGCGCCGAAGGAUGUGGCUGCGGCCGAUUAGGUAGACGGUGGGGUAACGGCCCACCGUGCCAAUAAUCGGUACGGGUCAUGAGAGUGAGAACCCGGAGACGGAAUCUGAGACAAGAUUCCGGGCCCUACGGGGCGCAGCAGGCGCGAAACCUUUACACUGCACGCCAGUGCGAUAAGGGAAUCCCAAGUGCGCAGGCAUAGAGCCUGCGCUUUUGUCCACCGUAGGGAGGUGGACGAAUAAGGGCUGGGCAAGACCGGUGCCAGCCGCCGCGGUAAUACCGGCAGCCCGAGUGAUGGCCGAUCUUAUUGGGCCUAAAGCGUCCGUAGCUGGCCGCACAAGUCCAUCGGAAAAUCCACCCGCUCAACGGGUGGGCGUCCGGUGGAAACUGUGUGGCUUGGGACCGGAAGGCGCGACGGGUACGUCCGGGGUAGGAGUGAAAUCCCGUAAUCCUGGACGGACCGCCGAUGGCGAAAGCACGUCNCGAGGACGGAUCCGACAGUGAGGGACGAAAGC